UGCGCUGCCCUGUUGUCUUCAGGCAGGAGAUCCUCGUCCAAGUGAUCGGGACUCUGGAGCUGGUGGGAGAGAUCGAGGCCUCUUCCAUGUUCAGCCUCUGCAGCUCCCUCUCCAUCUCCUUCAACAGCAGCAAGCAUUUCCACCUCUAUGGCAGCAACGCCUCCCUGGCCCAGGUUGUCAUGAAGGUUGACGUGGUGUAUGAGAAGCAGAUGCUCUACCUCUACGUGCUGAGCGGCAUCGGGGGGCUGCUGCUGCUGCUGCUCAUUUUCAUAGUGCUGUACAAGGUGG
rnacentral:lncRNA from 1 species